rnacentral:rRNA from 1 species
CUGAUCAACGCUAAUCGGAUCAGGGUUAGUCGGGUCCUAAGGCUCAGCCGAACGGUGAGGCCGAUGGCAGAACAGGUUAAUAUUCCUGUACUACCUUAAGGAGUGACGUGGAGACGGAGGAGUGACAGCGCCGCGGACUGACGGAAUAGUCCGUUGAAGGGUGUAGAUGUUGAUUAUCCCAGGCAAAUCCGGGAUAAGAGUCGAACCUGAUAGUAUGGAGCGUUCUUCGGAACAAUCCAAUAGUGCGUGUAAACAUACUCCCAAGAAAAUCCGCUAAACUUAAUCUUUAAGGUACCCGUACCGCAAACGGACACACGUAGUCGGGUUGAAUAUACUAAGGCGCUUGAGUGAUUCACGGUUAAGGAACUAGGCAAAUUAACCCUGUAACUUCGGGAUAAAGGGUCCCUACCCAGUGAUGGGAGGGCGCAGAGAAUAGGUCCAGGCAACUGUUUAACAAAAACACAGGGCUGUGCAAAAUUGAAAGAUCACGUAUACAGCCUGACACCUGCCCGGUGCUGGAAGGUUAAGAGGAGAUGUCAUCGCAAGAGAAGCAUUGAAUUGAAGCCCCAGUAAACGGCGGCCGUAACUAUAACGGUCCUAAGGUAGCGAAAUUCCUUGUCGGGUAAGUUCCGACCUGCACGAAUGGUGUAAUGAUCCGGACGCUGUCUCAACCGUGAGCUCAGUGAAAUUGUAGUAUCGGUGAAGAUGCCGAUUACCCGCGAUGGGACGAAAAGACCCCGUGAACCUUUACUAUAGCUUAACAUUGAAUUUGGGUAAUUGAUGUGUAGGAUAGGCCGGAGACUUCGAAGCAGGUACGCCAGUAUUUGUGGAGUCGCUGUUGAAAUACGGCCCUUUGAUUAUUUGAGUUCUAACUCGUAGAUGCGGGGACACUGUUUGGUGGGUAGUUUGACUGGGGUGGUCGCCUCCAAAAGUGUAACGGAGGCUUCUAAAGGUGCCCUCAGGACGAUUGGUAACCGUCCGUAGAGUGUAAUGGCAUAAGGGCGCUUGACUGGGAGACAUACAAGUCGAUCAGGUAGGAAACUAGAGCAUAGUGAUCCGGUGUUUCCGUAUGGAAGGGA